AACAACCAAUCAGACCCCAGAGGCUUCUUCCAGCUCCCAGAUCCCGGCCGCGCAAGCGCUGCUCCGUGGCGCCGGGGUGGGGGUUGAAUCUCUCGAGCCCGGGCUCAUAGUCCGGGGGGGCGGGGAGGUGUCCGGGGGACUGUGGCUGCCGUUGCUCUGCUCUGGACCCGUGGCCGGGAGCAGGGACACCGGGGGAGGGACAAUGGGGCCUCUGCUGCCGCUGGCAAGAUGGGGUCUCUUGGGCCGUAGCGUCUCUCUGGUGCAGGCCGCGAGGAGCCUCCACUGUGGUGAGCGGGGCGGGGGACACACCCAGACAUUGUAUUGCCCUCCCGGCCAGGCAAGGGCGACCUGCAGGGUCAGGCCCUUCUACUGAUCACCCCCUUCUUCAGCUGUCUUCUCCGUUUCCAGGGGUCUCCAGCUGGAUCCAUGUGAAGGUGCCCCCUGAACCUAAAGAGGUUGAUCGCUGGACAGAGAAACGAGCCUUAUUUGGGGUCUAUGACAACAUAGGGAUUCUAGGUAAGUGACCAAGGGUGGGUCUGAGGAGAUCAUGGGAGGGGGUCAGGAGAGCCGAGGUUAGUCCUUCUCUGGGGCUAGGGAAAAUGUAAUGGUGUCAGAAUGAAUUGAAGUUGAUGGGACCUUGGGCUAAGCUUUCUGCUGCCCUGGGUUUAUUUUCCUCUUACUGCAUUUGUUUCCCACUUCCUCCUCAGGAGACUUCCACAUUCACCCCAAGGACUUGAUCACAGGGCCCAAGUGGCUGCAAGGCUGGCGGGGAAAUGAGCUACAGAGAUGCAUCCGCAAGAAGCAAAUUGUAGGUCACCGAAUGUUUGAUCAGGAUUACAAGAACCUUAACAAAAGGAUCAGGUUCCUGUACAGACGCUUCAACCGCACUGGAAAGCACCGCUAGGAGCAGACCUGUGAGAGCUAGCCAUGUGUAUCCUGGAGGAAUGGCAUCCUGGGAAUAACAGGUUUAGCACCUGGAGCUGUGCGCAGAAUGCAGUGCUGUAAAAUCAUAAUAAACUGAGUUUCUCGUCUAUAACCACCUUCUACUUCUGAUCUCACUUGAAGCUCAGUUCCAGCUCCUAGACCCUCCUCCUUGUCCAGUCCUGAGCUCCCUUUGCUGAUUAUUCCUCCUUCACCACCACCCUUAAAUUUAUCUUCUUACUGCUUCCCUUAAGUUUAGCUCCCCAUCUUCCUCUGUUGCAACCCCUCUCUAGUACCUGGUUUCCAGCUUCAUAGUUUGUUACACCAACCUUAAUAUUGAAAUGACACAAAACAUUAAAUGUUUUCAAUUACCAGCACUUGGACAACCUUAAUUCCAUUUUAUAAUUCUCCCAGAGAGUUGCAAGUCUCUUUUGUAUUCUCCUUCUCCACUGAUUCCCAAUCUGCUACAGCCCACAGUUUAGUUAUGUCUGUCCUUCAAAACCCUCCAAUGAAUUGACUUGAGUAAUGCUGAAGUUACCUUAACAGCCCAGAAUUGAAGUUGCAUUAAAAUUUGCCUUUAAAGGAUGAUUAAUCCUUUUAAUUCACACUACUUCCUGUGUUUAAUCUCUAUAUUUAAUAUACUCCCUGAACAGGUGAAUUUUCUUAGGCAAAGGUUACUAAUGUAACUUAAGCAGGUGAAAUUUAGAGAAACCCUUUUUGACAUUGUCCCUGAAGUCAGAUUGUCAUCAGGCUCUUUUGUAGGAACAGCCCUACUGGAUGAGAGCUGGGGUCAAGAGUCCUGUCUCAUAGAGGGGCCAGUACCAGAUCCUUCAGAGGCAGGUGCAAGAAACCUGCAGUCGGCAGAUCUGUGGUACUCUGCCCCCCCAUUAGUUCACAUCCUGAUUUCUCACAGUUCGAGAUGGGCUGAAAUCAAGUAUAAGAUUGAAUAGCCCUUCUAAAAAAUGUAUUAAUGAUAACUAGAUAUUAUCCAAUGCCUCUCCGGCUGUUGCUAAAUUCGCAUCCCCACUCUACUCAGCUGUCCUUUGGUGCAUCACCCAGUAGCUCUGUGGGGAGUUACAAGGGGAAGUGAGAGAGACAAGGUGGAGGAGGUUAUAUCUUUUAUUGAACAAAAUUCUGGGAUUGACAUAGCUACAAUACUGCAUACAGUAAGGGGAUGUGAGGCAGACUUGUGGGAGAGGGAAAGAGGGUUUUGGACACAGUUGCCAACUUUCAUACAGUAAAUAAGCACCCCGAUUUUCACAAUAACCCCAAAAUCAAGCUAAUCCCUAAGAACCCCAACACUCUGACUAGAUUCCCCCAGCGUGCAGUCUUGAUACUGUGGUGGGCCUGUUGUGCACCCCUGACCCCCCCCCUUGCUCCUGCUUGCUGGGAGCCGAUCAAAAAAAAAGCAUAAAGCUACAAAAAAGCUACAAGCAAAAAACUAGCCAACAAGCAACUCACAAGCCAAUUAAGCCAGAAACAAGCCCAAUUUCUUUGUUUUUUGUAUUGAAGCAUAAGCUUUCGUGGGUGAAUACCCACUUCUUCGGAUGCAAGCAGUGGAAAUGUCCAGGGGCAGAUAUUUUUUAUAUCUGCCCCAUGACAUUUCCACUGCUUGCAUCCGAUGAAGUGGGUAUUCACCCACGAAAGCUUAUGCUUCAAUACCUCUGUUAGUCUAUAAGGUGCCACAGGACCCUUUGUCGCUUCUACAGAUCCAGACUAACACGGCUACCCCUCUGAUACUUUGUUUUUUGUGUGUGCGGGUUUGGCAUGUUUGGUUGUGGAUAGGGUCUUGGGCUGGUGGAUGCCAGUUUUUCCUGUAAUGAAGCAUCAGCAGUUCAUUGGUUUCGCUGAAAUUUCUGCCAUAGGGAGUCCCUGAUGUACCAAGGCCUCAGUGUAGACACAGCUGAAUGAGGAGUUCUGUGUUGCACUGAGAUGUUAUUGCAUCAAGAGUUAGCCUCAGUGAGGGAGCUGUGACAGAAGAACUGAGUUCAUUUCCUUCCUUCCUCCAGUGGUGGGGAUAGCAGUUGUGACUGGGGAAUUGAAACGAGUAGUAGUGCUCUCUUGGAGGAAGCUUUAGCUGGUGUCCUGGCAGAAACCAGUAGUUUCCAUUCUGAUCCAGUGGGAGGCAGGAGUUGGAAACGUUUCCUGCUUGGGUUGUACCCCAGCAUGGAACACUGCUGAGCCCUUUGUCUGCAAAGGGACAAUGGAAGAAUUCUGGCCCCUAGGAGGGUGAGCAAUAGGUCUCUAGUCAGGUGACAGAGGGCUGUCUCCUUAGGCUACAUCCACACUACCCGCCCGAUUCCGCGGGUAGCGAUCGAUGUUCUGGGAUCAAUUUAUCGCGUCUCAUCUAGACGCGAUAAAUCGAUCCCAGAGCUGCUCCCCGUCGACUCCGGAACUCCAGCUCUGCGCAAGGAGUAAGCGGAGUCGACGGGGGAGCCUGCCUGCUGCGGUGUGGACCAGCAGUAAGUACUUUUGAAAUCGAUCUAAGAUAUUCGACUUCAGCUACGUUAUUCACGUAGCUGAAGUUGCGUAUCUUAGAUCGAUCCCCCGCCCCCCCCAGUGUGGACCAGCUCUUAGACUUGGCUACACCUUUGGCUCUUACUCCACCUUGUGUACCUUCAUGCCUUGAUAGAAGAGCUUGAAAGCACUGCUCCUAUAGAGGCUACAAACCCUGUCAGAGUGCUCCAGAGGUUAUGUCUACACUACGGACCUUACAGCAGCACAGCUGCACCACUACAGCUGUGCACUGUAAGGUCUCCUGUGUAGCCGCUCUAUGCCAGCAGGAGGGAACUCUCCUGCCAACAUAGCCCCGUCCAUACCAGCACUUUUGUCAGUGACACUUAUGUUGGCGAGGGGGUGUGGUUUUUUUCACACCCCUGACAAACGUGCUAGUGUAGACAAAGUGUUAAGAGUUUCUGACCAUUGCUGCUGCUUCAGCCUAUAAGGCAUAUGCUUGAGCUAUCAAAUUCUGCUAUACAAACUAUGGCUCCAGCAGCAAUGUAUUGACUUCUCAGCCUACCUGCAGCCACUGACUUUUUGCUUCCCCAUAUCUCCUGUAUUCCCUCUAUUCCACAUCUCUUGUCUCUUUGCUUUCCCUUUCUAAUCCUAUCAGUUUCUCCUACCUUGUUUCCCAAACUUUUUAACCUCUUUUUAUUAGUAGUUCAUAUCCUGUCAUUCUAAUAAAGGAUGGUGUGUUUGUGGGUCAAGCUAUGAACAUGCUACAGUUGCUCUUAACCUGUGCCGGGAUAUAGAAAGAACCACUCCUUUUCCCUU
ensembl:lncRNA